rnacentral:rRNA from 1 species
UUCCGGUUGAUCCCGCCGGACCCGACUGCUAUUUGGGUGAGAAUAAGCCAUGCGAGUUGAAUGGGAUACCUAAAUUUCCCAUAGCAAACUGCUCAGUAACACAUGAUCAACUUACCCUAUAGAGAAAAAUAACCUCGGGAAACUGAGGAUAAUGUUUCAUAAUUGAAUUGGCUUGGAAGAGUUUUUCAAUGAAAAGGAUAAAAAAAAUGGUUUUUAUCUGCUAUAGGAUAGGAUCGUGUUCGAUUAUGGUUGUUGGUGAGAUAAUGGCUCACCAAGCCGAUAAUCGAUAGGGGCCGUGAGAGCGGGAGCCCCGAGAUGGGUACUGAGACAACGACCCAGGCCUUACGAGGCGCAGCAGGCGCGGAACCUCCGCAAUACACGAAAGUGUGACGGGGUUACCCAAAGUGUUCAAUAGAACUGUGGUAGGUGAGUAAUGUCCCCUACUAGAAAGGAGAGGGCAAGGCUGGUGCCAGCCGCCGCGGUAAAACCAGCUCUUCAAGUGGUCGGGAUAAUUAUUGGGCUUAAAGUGUCCGUAGCCGGUUUAGUAAGUUCCUGGUAAAAUCGGGUAGCUUAACUAUCUGCAUGCUAGGAAUACUGCUAUACUAGAGGGCGGGAGAGGUCUGAGGUACUACAGGGGUAGGGGUGAAAUCUUAUAAUCCUUGUAGGACCACCAGUGGCGAAGGCGUCAGACUGGAACGCGCCUGACGGUGAGGGACGAAAGCCAGGGGAGCGAACCGGAUUAGAUACCCGGGUAGUCCUGGCCGUAAACGAUGCAUACUAGGUGAUGGUACGGCCAUGAGCCGUAUCAGUGCCGUAGGGAAACCGUUGAGUGUGCCGCCUGGGAAGUACGGUCGCAAGGCUAAAACUUAAAGGAAUUGGCGGGGGAGCACCACAAGGGGUGAAGCCUGCGGGUUCAAUUGGGAUUCAACGCCGGGAAUCACUAGUGCGGC